GACGAACGCUGGCGGCGUGCUUAACACAUGCAAGUCGAGCGGUAAGGCCCUUUCGGGGGUACACGAGCGGCGAACGGGUGAGUAACACGUGGGUGACCUGCCCUCAGCCCUGGGAUAAGCCUGGGAAACUGGGUCUAAUACUGGAUAUGACUCCACGGUGCAUGUCGUGGGGUGGAAAGCCUUGUGCGGCUGAGGAUGGGCCCGCGGCCUAUCAGCUUGUUGGUGGGGUGANGGCCUACCAAGGCGACGACGGGUAGCCGGCCUGAGAGGGCGACCGGCCACACUGGGACUGAGACACGGCCCAGACUCCUACGGGAGGCAGCAGUGGGGAAUCUUGCGCAAUGGGCGAAAG
rnacentral:rRNA from 1 species